rnacentral:rRNA from 1 species
GAGUUUGAUCCUGGCUCAGGAUGAACGCUGGCGGCGUGCCUAACACAUGCAAGUCGAGCGAUUCUCUUCGGAGAAGAGCGGCGGACGGGUGAGUAACGCGUGGGUAACCUGCCCUGUACACACGGAUAACAUACCGAAAGGUAUGCUAAUACGAGAUAAUAUGCUUUUAUCGCAUGGUAGAAGUAUCAAAGCUUUUGCGGUACAGGAUGGACCCGCGUUGGAUUAGCUAGUUGGCAGGGCAGCGGCCUACCAAGGCGACGAUCCAUAGCCGGCCUGAGAGGGUGAACGGCCACAUUGGGACUGAGACACGGCCCAGACUCCUACGGGAGGCAGCAGUGGGGAAUAUUGCACAAUGGAGGAAACUCUGAUGCAGCGACGCCGCGUGAAGGAUGAAGUAUUUCGGUAUGUAAACUUCUAUCAGCAGGGAAGAAAAUGACGGUACCUGACUAAGAAGCCCCGGCUAACUACGUGCCAGCCGCCGCGGUAAUAC